rnacentral:rRNA from 1 species
CAAUAGCGUAUAUUAAAGUUGUUGCGGUUAAAAAGCUCGUAGUUGGAUUUCUGCCGAGGACGACCGGUCCGCCCUCUGGGUGUGUAUCUGGUUUGGCCUGGGCAUCUUCUUGGAGAACGUAGCUGCACUUGACUGUGUGGUGCGGUGUCCAGGACUUUUACUUUGAGGAAAUUAGAGUGUUUCAAGCAGGCACACGCCUUGAAUACAUUAGCAUGGAAUAAUAAGAUAGGACCUCGGUUCUAUUUUGUUGGUUUCUAGAGCUGAGGUAAUGAUUAAUAGGGAUAGUUGGGGGCAUUCGUAUUUAACUGUCAGAGGUGAAAUUCUUGGAUUUGAUAAAGACGGACUACUGCGAAAGCAUUUGCCAAGGAUGUUUUCAUUGA